rnacentral:miRNA from 1 species
UAGUAGGUUGUGUUGUUUAGU